GGUGAGGUGUCCGAGUGGUUUAAGGAGCACGCCUGGAAAGCGUGUAAGUCGAAAGGCUUCGUGGGUUCGAAUCCCACUCUCACCGCCA
rnacentral:tRNA from 1 species